UGGAGGAAAGUAGGGGAUCGCAAGACCUUGCGCUYUUGGAGCGGCCGAUGUCUGAUUAGCUAGUUGGUGAGGUAAAGGCUUACCAAGGCGACGAUCAGUAGCUGGUCUGAGAGGACGACCAGCCACACUGGGACUGAGACACGGCCCAGACUCCUACGGGAGGCAGCAGUGGGGAAUUUUGGACAAUGGGGGAAACCCUGAUCCAGCCAUGCCGCGUGAGUGAAGAAGGCCUUCGGGUUGUAAAGCUCUUUCAGCCGGAACGAAACGGUCACGGCUAAUACCUGUGACYACUGACGGUACCGGAAGAAGAAGCACCGGCUAACUACGUGCCAGCAGCCGCGGUAAUACGUAGGGUGCAAGCGUUAAUCGGAAUUACUGGGCGUAAAGCGUGCGCAGGCGGUUUUGUAAGUCAGAUGUGAAAUCCCCGGGCUUAACCUGGGAACUGCGUUUGAAACUACCAAAAGCUAGA
rnacentral:rRNA from 1 species